GUAGGUGACGAGCGUUAUCCGGAAUUACUGGGCGUAAAGCGCACGCAAGCGGUCAGACAAGUCUGGCGUGAAAUCCUCUGGCUUAACCAGGGGCGGUCGCUGGAAACUGUGGGGCUUGAGGCGAUGAGAGGGGUGCAGAAUUCCCGGUGUAGUGGUGGAAUGCGUAGAGAUCGGGAGGAAUACCAGUGGCGAAAGCGGCACCCUGGCGUCGGCCUGACGCACAUGUGCGAAAGCGUGGGGAGCGAACGGGAUUAGAUACCCCGGUAGUCCACGCGGUAAACGAUGAACACUAGGUGUGGGUGGAGUCCAUCCGUCCGUGCCAAAGCCAACGCGUUAAGUGUUCCGCCUGGGAAGUACGGCCGCAAGGCUAAA
rnacentral:rRNA from 1 species